rnacentral:rRNA from 1 species
UCAUAAUCCGUUGGACUUUAUGGAACCGUGUCCUUACUCGGAUAACUGUGGUAAUUCUAGAGCUAAUACAUGCCACGAGUUCCCAAAGUGUUUUUGUUAACAUUAGUAGGACGCAAUUAUUAGAACCAAAAAUUGUACCGAUUUCUUACUUGGUGUAAAACUUGGUGAAUCUGGAUAAUCACUGCAGAGCGCUUAACUUGUGCCGGCGCCAGACCUUUGAAGAGUCUGCCCUAUCAGCUUGAUUGUAGAUUAAAUGUCUACAAUGGCUAUAACGGGUAACGGGGAAUCAGGGUUCGAUUCCGGAGAGGGAGCCUGAGAAACGGCUACCACAUCUAAGGAAGGCAGCAGGCACGCAAAUUGUUCAAUCUUAGCUCGAGGAAGCAGUGACAAAAUAUCUUGAUGCGGGACUCUUCCGAGGCCUCGCAAUCAGGAUGCGUUUACUUUAAAGCAGUAAACUGAACGCAAUUGGAGGGCAAGUCUGGUGCCAGCAGCCGCGGUAAUUCCAGCUCCAAUAGCGUAUAUUUAAGUUGCUGCGGUUAAAAAGCUCGUAGUUGGACUUCAUACUCAGGCAGCCAGCCCUCUUUCAUUUGAGGUUCUUACUGCGUCGGUGACUGUGUGUUUAGGAGACCGUCGACACCUUUUAGUCUAUAAUUGAUGAUUCCCUUAACUGGUUGAGGCACAUUCGUUGAGAAAGUUUCGACUCUAUCACUUUGAAAAAAGUAGAGUGCUCAAAGCACUCAUUGCAUAAUUGCCUGAAUGGUAGUGCAUGGAAUGAUGGAAGAUGAUCUCUACCUCGUUAAGUAAAAAGAUAUCUUUUCUUUGCACCAGGUAAAGAUUCGAGGUUUGAGAUAAUGAUUAAAGGGAACUGCCGGGGGCGUUUGUAUUACGGCGCUAGAGGUGAAAUUCUUGGACCGUCGUAAGACAAACUACUGCGAAAGCAUUCGCCAAGAAUGUUUUCAUUAAUCAAGAACGAAAGUUAGAGUUUAGAAGGAGAUCAGAUACCUCCCUAUUUCUAACCGUAAACUAUGCUAACCAGUUGUCCGUCGGAAGUCAAUUCCGAUGGACGAGCGACCCCAGGGAAACCAGAGUGUCUGAGUUCCGGGGGAAGUAUGGUUGCAAAAAGGAAACUUAAAGGAAUUGACGGAAGGGCACCACCAGGAGUGGAGCCUGCGGCUUAAUUUGACUCAACACGGGAAAACUCACCAGGCCCAGAAACAUUUAGGAUUGACAGAUUAAAAGCUCUUUCAUGAUUAUGAGGAUGGUGGUGCAUGAUUACUAAACUUUGACUGGAGUAAUUACUGAAGGUCUUUUCGAAGGUUAAUGUCGGGUAGUCUAUCUUUCUUCUUAGAAAAAUCAAUGGUACUCUAAUCAGUUGACAGGAAGAGCAAUAACAGGUCUGUGAUGCCCUUAGAUGUUCUGGGCCGCACGCGCGCUACAAUGCACGGUGCAACACGUCCCCCUUCUCCCUAAUGGAGUGGGUAACCGGUUUAAAUCCGGGCCUACUUGGGAUUGGGGCUUGCAAAUAUUUCCCAUGAACGAGGAAUUCCCAGUAAGCGUUGGCUCAUUUAAGUCGCGCUGAUUACGUCCCUGCCCUUUGUACACACCGCCCGUCGCUACUACCGAUUGAAUGAUUCAGUGAGAACAUUGGACUGUCGUUCUAACGUAUUGUUUUCUAUACUU